rnacentral:tRNA from 1 species
GGGGUUGUGGCUCUGUGGUAGAGCUCUUGUCUAGCAUGCAUGAGGCAUUGGGUUCGAUUCCCAGACACCA